GACGAACGCUGGCGGCGUGCUUAACACAUGCAAGUCGAACGGAAAGGCCCUGCUUUUGUGGGGUGCUCGAGUGGCGAACGGGUGAGUAACACGUGAGUAACCUGCCCUUGACUUUGGGAUAACUUCAGGAAACUGGGGCUAAUACCGGAUAGGAGCUCCUGCUGCAUGGUGGGGGUUGGAAAGUUUCGGCGGUUGGGGAUGGACUCGCGGCUUAUCAGCUUGUUGGUGGGGUAGUGGCUUACCAAGGCUUUGACGGGUAGCCGGCCUGAGAGGGUGACCGGGACAAUGGGACGACGGGAAGGGCCAGGAGCCAAACGGGGGGAAGGGGGGGGGAAUUGUGCAAACGGGGGGGAGGCCGGGAGGAAGGACGCCGGGUCGGGAAAGACGGCUUUGGGGUUGGAAACAGUUUGUGCGUGGCACGACGCGUGUGGGCGGUAAAGGGGCAAAAAGGCACGGGUAACUACGUG
rnacentral:rRNA from 1 species